UCUGGGUAAUCAUAAUGCAAGACUUUAUUGCAUGUUUUGCAGCUAUAAAAGCGAUGCAUUCAUUGAUAUGGAGCGGAUUUGCAGCAACAGGUUUUCUCUUGUAAACAUUUCAGAAAUCUGUCGUGGCUCGUUAAAUCUGAAACUAGCAGGUCCGGUGGAAUGUUUUCCAGAAGCACAAAAACGGUCACGUGAAGGACCUGCCUUUAAACGGGGUUACCCCGGAAAAGCGUUUGUGGUGCGUAUAUAAGAAUAAUCUGCCAGUCAGGGUCUCGCAGUGCUCGCAUUUCCGACUUGCCAUAAACUGAAUAAUGAAAUUGUUAAUUAUUUAUUGUCUUUGCGCUUUUGUCGUAGAUGCUGCCGAUUUCUGUUUUAACCAAUUCAGCUACGCACCUCGAUUCAGUAUGCGUCCAUCUGCACGUGGCUUGAAAAAGGGUGGCUAUGAAGACGCAACUGCAGUCUCACAUGAGAAUAACCUUUUCACCGCAGUGGGAGCUGUAACGCAUAACAUCAAUGUCAUCUCAACCCCUUUCUCGUGCGUGGAAAUUUAUGACUUCCGAGUUAUCGAUACGAAUCCGUGGCUUAAGAGGACAAGAAUAUUAUAAUUUUGCCUUUGAAUAAAUAAACAAAAAAUAAAUUCCAAAUUAUAAAUUUGUACGAAAUAAACUAUAAAUUUAG